AUACGAGAUGGAUGAACUUGAAGU
rnacentral:siRNA from 1 species